GAUGAUUCAACUAUAUAUCGAUGCCAUCUUCUUCCUUUGGAUUCCACUUCAAAUUUUUGAAGAAAUUCCACUGUUUUCUUUGGGAAUUUUCUUGGUUGGUCACUGGGUAAAGGAUUGCUGGAAUCUCCUUUGUGAUGUUGAUAGACCAAAAUAGACAUCUUCCCUCUUAUGUGACCUUUUAUGUGCUUGAAAAGAACAUCCUGAGAAUUUUUUUAGAAGUAUCACUAGGUGUACCCUAGUACAUACUUGGG
rnacentral:lncRNA from 1 species